rnacentral:rRNA from 1 species
GACGAACGCUGGCGGCGUGCUUAACACAUGCAAGUCGAACGGAAAGGCCCUGCUUUUGUGGGGUGCUCGAGUGGCGAACGGGUGAGUAACACGUGAGUAACCUGCCCUUGACUUUGGGGUAACUUCAGGAAACUGGGGCUAAUACCGGAUAGGAGCUCCUGCUGCAUGGUGGGGGUUGGAAAGUUUCGGCGGUUGGGGAUGGACUCGCGGCUUAUCAGCUUGUUGGUGGGGUAGUGGCUUACCAAGGCUUUGACGGGUAGCCGGCCUGAGAGGGUGACCGGCCACAUUGGGACUGAGAUACGGACCAGACUCCUACGGGAGGCAGCAGUGGGGAAUAUUGCACAAUGGGCGGAAGCCUGAUGCAGCAACGCCGCGUGCGGGAUGACGGCCUUCGGGUUGUAAACCGCUUUCGCCUGUGACGAAGCGUGAGUGACGGUAAUGGGUAAAGAAGCACCGGCUAACUACGUG